AACGAACGCUGGCGGCAGGCUUAACACAUGCAAGUCGAACGCCUGUAGCAAUACAGGAGUGGCAGACGGGUGAGUAACACGUGGGAACGUGCCCAAAGGUACGGAACAACUCCGGGAAACUGGAGCUAAUACCGUAUGUGCCCGAAAGGGGAAAGAUUUAUCGCCUUUGGAUCGGCCCGCGUCUGAUUAGCUAGUUGGUGGGGUAAUGGCCUACCAAGGCGACGAUCAGUAGCUGGUCUGAGAGGAUGGCCAGCCACACUGGGACUGAGUCACGGCCCAGACUCCUAUGGGAGGCAGCAGUGGGGAAUAUUGGACAAUGGGCGCAAGCCUGAUCCAGCCAUGCCGCGUGAGUGAUGAAGGCCUUAGGGUUGUAAAGCUCUUUCGCCAGGGACGAUAAUGACGGUACCUGGAUAAGAAGCCCCGGCUAACUUCGUGCCAGCCGCCGCAGUAA
rnacentral:rRNA from 1 species